CCAGAAGGUACCCUUCUGGCAAGGGUACUGUACUAAACUAACUAAAGUGGGGGAUAGUGAGGGGAUAAAUUUUCUUAAGGAACUCGGCAAAAUCCCAAUGGCCCACCAGGGCAUAUUGGAACACGGGCCUCGACUGUUUACCAAAAACAUAGCCCUCGGCUAAUAUGAAAAUAGAUGUAUAGAGGGUGAUGCCUGCCCAAUGGUUGUAUCUAAAAGCGGUUGAUAAAAGUCGACCUUGUAAGGACAAUUGAAUGGCCGCGGUAACACUGACCGUGAUAAUGUAGCGUAAUCAAUAGCCAAUUAAUUGUUGGCCAGUAUGAAUGGCGCCACGAAGGCCCCACUGUCUUAAGGAAAUUCCCAGUGAAAUUGAAUUCGUAGUGAAGAUGCUACGUCCAAUUUGUUAGACGAAAAGACCCCGUUGAGCUUUACUGGAGCACUUAUAUGGCCCCGGCCUUCCCAUGCCUGGGAACCGGCCGAAUUUAAAUGGGCGGCUUAGAUUAUGUGGCAGCCCCCCGCUGGGGCAAAUGAAACACCACUCCCCCAUGUCAAAGGGGCUAACCCCCCCCUUGGGGGGGACAGUGUAAGUAGGACAGUUUGGUUGGGGCGACCGCCUUUUAAAAAGUAACGAAGGUGCGCUUAAGGUGUGCAAUUAAUGACUGAAGCCUGACUGCGAGGGGGGUACCCCGAGCAGACACCCCUAAGCCCGCCCGAAGGGCGGCGGU
rnacentral:rRNA from 1 species